GACACCUGGAAGGCGGCGCGGCAUGGAUCCGGAGCCCCCCACAGCCUCCCGGAAGAUCCCUGUCCUGGGCCUGGGCACCUGGAAGGCCUGUCAGGGAGAAGUGACUGAGGCAGUAAAGGUGGCCAUUGAUUCAGGAUACCUGCACUUCGACUGUGCUUAUUUUUACCAUAACGAGAAUGAAGUUGGAGAAGGGAUCCAUUCCAAGAUCCAGGACGGCACCGUGACACGGGAGGAUCUGUUCAUUGUCAGUAAGCUGUGGUGCACCUACCACACGAAGUCCAUGGUGAAAAUGGCAUGCAAGAAGAGUCUGAAUGCCUUGAAGUUGGAUUAUCUGGACCUCUACCUCAUACACUGGCCCAUGGGUUUCAAGCCUGGAGUAAAAGACUUGCCUCUGGACCGCAACGGCAUGGUCAUACCCAGUAACACGGACUUCCUGGACACAUGGGAGGCCAUGGAAGAUCUGGUGAUCGCAGGGCUGGUGAAGGACAUUGGGGUGUCAAACUUCAACCAGGAACAGCUUGAGAGGCUUCUGAAUAAGCCUGGGUUGAGGUUCAAGCCAAUAACCAACCAGGUUGAGUGCCACCCAUAUCUUAAUCAGAAGGAUCUGAUUGAUUUUUGCCAGUCCAGAAAUGUGUCUGUGACCGCUUACCGUCCUCUUGGUGGCUCAUGUGAGGGGGUUGACAUGAUGGAGGACCCUGUGAUUCAGAGGAUCGCAAUGAAGCACAACAAGUCUUCAGCUCAGAUUAUGAUCCGAUUUCAGAUCCAGAGGGAUGUGAUAGUGAUUCCCAAAUCUGUCACCCCAGAGCGGAUUAAAGAGAAUAUCUAGGUCUUUGAUUUUGAAUAAACAGAAGAAGAUAUGAAGGCCAUGGUCAGCCUAGACAGGAAUCUCCGAUUGACCACAUUCCCCAUAACUGAAGAUCACAAAGACUAUCCUUUCUGCAUAGAAUACUGAGGACAGCCUCCCUCUCCAUCAUUUCUGCUUGGCCCAGACACAUGGAUGCUGGUGGCGAUGUUGACCACCUCUGCAGGGGCUCUAGGGCCACAACGCAGAUGGGCCCCGCAGAGGUAGGUUUGGGUGCAUUCCCACCUGGAACAGAAGCCGACUUCUCUGAGAAAUCCACAGAGUUGAGUGUGUUCUCAGUGACAGAAAUGGGAUUUCUGUGUGACAGCUUGUGUGGCCUCCACUCUCUGAAAGAAGAUAUUGAUGACUCAUGAAUAAAA